GAAUGCUAAAAGAAUGGAAAUUUAAAAAAAAACUUUUUUAAAAAUAAAAAUUGAAUUUUUUUUAAUUUGUGCAAAAACAAUUAUACUUAUUAAAGACAAGAAGACCCUAAGAAUUUAAGAUUUUACAAUUAAAAAGUUUUUUUUUUAAAAUCUUGAUUGGGGCGAUCAAAAAAUAUUAAUAACUUUUUAAAAUUUAAAUUGAUCUAUUAUUAAUAAACUAAUGAAUUAAAUACUCUAGGGAUAACAGCGUAAUAAUUUUUGAUAGAUCUUAUUGACAAAAUAGUUUGCGACCUCGAUGUUGGAUUAGGAUUCUUUUUUAAUGAAAAAGUUAAAAAAAGAAGUUUGUUCAACUUUUAAAUUCCUACUUGAUCUGAGUUCAAACCG
rnacentral:rRNA from 1 species